rnacentral:tRNA from 1 species
UGCUGGGAUAGCUCAGUCGGUAGACCAGAGGACUGAAAAUCCUCGUGUUGGCAGUUCAAUUCUGCCUCUCAGCAU